AGAGAUUUGUUCAGAAGACUACAUUCUUGGUCCAUACUUUGAUAACAUGUGCCUCAUUAAAAUCUCAUUUGUGGCUUUGCUAUUAAUUAUUGGCGUGCCUCUACUUUUACUUUGUGGCAGAAAAGGUGAGAGAAACUUUUCAUUUUUGAAUGCCUGCUAUACUUUAUCUGAUUUCUUUAUAAAUACUAUUUCUAUUACAGAUAAAAGGGGGAAUACAAAGGUCGAAAUGUCAUGAACAAUGUUUAUUCGGCAUCUGAUGAACAAUGGAAAAGUGAGAUUUUUUUAGGGAGAUAAAUUUCCAUGUUGCCAAACUGGAUGCAAGCAAUACACAAACUUUGAAAAAUAUGACUAUCCUUAUUAACAUAUAUGCUAACAUAUAUUUGUGAUGCUACCUUUAACAGCAAAGCUUCUGUAACGAACCUUGCAUCUGCAGAUUACAAAAAUAUACCCAUGUCAUUUUUGGAUAUGCCUCCACAAUAUAUAUUGCUACUUGCUACGAGCUAAUAAUAAAAAGGUUUUUGUCUUGAC